CAGGGUGUGACUGAACAGGAAAGUGUCUCCCUUACACUGAGAAAUUGCCCGUGCAAAUCGGGCCGCCUUGA
rnacentral:tRNA from 1 species